rnacentral:lncRNA from 1 species
CAGCUGUGCAAAUUACUAAAAAUUAGUUUAACUGAUACUGUCAUGAGAUCCACUGCACUGGCUGAGGGUAGUUACAGCAAUCCAUGGUUCUGCCUGACCUUCCUCAUCUAGAGAAGCUGCACUGCCUAUUACCAGCCUUGAAGACUCUGUUCAGGAUCUGCACAGCCCAGUGGAGAUGGUGUGGAGAUAUUGCUUGCUGCUGGAUAUAUCUAGUUUUUUAGGCUUUGUUCUUUGAGUCACUGCUGACUUGCAUGUUGGGGCUUCUAAAGAAAGUUGCAUCUUGCCUUGGGAACACAGUUCUUUCAGCUGACUCAGAACCUGCAGCUAAGAGGAGCCCAGAGGACCAGUGCCAGCUCUCCCAGGACUUUAUAAACAGUCACGUCUCCUGGCUCUGCUUUGUAGCUGGCUGACUCAUAGUCCUCCUUGUAAAGAGCACCUGCAGACCUGAGUGGCUGCUCUGAGACUGCUCAUCCAACAUGGAAAACUACAGCACCGAGCCAUAAGCAGUGCAGAAACUCUGCAGUGGUGAACUAGGCAUUUAGUAUCCUUUUCUGAUCAUAAUUUUCCCUGUGAGGGGGGAAGAAGAAAUCAUUAUUUUCUAUUUCAGUUCUUGAUUAUUUCCAUUCUUAUUUCAAUUUAGGGUUUGCUCUGUUAGUAUCUCUUACUACCUUUGUCUGAUUUCUGGGUGUUCCUGCCGGUCUGAUUUGAUUUUCAUGUGCAGACUAUUUUACUGGAUCAUGCAUUAAGUGAAGAUAAACCAAUAACUAUGGUUACUGUGGAGCUGCAACGUAAAAAUCUAGCUUUCAUAUCUAAACAGAAAAACCUCAGUCUUAAAAGGGACUAGUGUCUUUCACGUUUAUUAAGGAUUAUAAGAGACAGGAAAUGAGAAAAAACAAACACAGAUUCUUUUUAGUGUUUUUUUUUCCUUCUUAGUGUGAGAAGCACAUUGCUUCAGUAACCAUUAUAUCUCUUGGUAUCAUCAUAUUCAUACAGUAUCCUGAAGGAUUUAGGAAAAUGAGUAGUUUGAAUCAUUCACUGAAGGGAAAACAGAAAUAUUGUAAAUGGCAUACUUAUAGAAAACUACCUGAAUUUUUUUAUUCUCCUGUGAAUUACUACUGUUUUGUUUAGGAUUGGUUUUAAUCAAUAAAUCACUAUAUGUAUCUUGAAAAAUGCA